rnacentral:rRNA from 1 species
AGUGAAGCGAAGGAGGUCAGUGAUCAUGGGGCCAGAUCCCCAAGUGCCUUUUGGGCACCGUAGCGUUCUGGUAUCCCGGGUCAGCGCCGGCCGGGGGCGGGUGUGAAUGAGGAGGUGGUUGAGGGAUUCGUUUUCCGCCCGUUUACUCCUCUUUAACUUGUCAUCCCGGCCGAGGGAUCCGCGACUUGUCGUGUGAGGGCGCUGUCAAAAUGGCCUUCUCCACCCCGUCUUGAAACACGGACCAAGGAGUCUAACAUACUCGCGAGUGUUUGGGUGGUUAAAACCCGAACGCACAAUGAAAGUAAAACGGUAGCUCUGCGCUGCUGCUUGGUGGGAACCCUGCUCUUAUAACGGGGGGCACCAUCACCCGACCCCGAUCCCCUCGGGGUGGUUGGUUUUGAGGCAGAGCGAGUAUGAUGGGACCCGAAAGAUGGUGAACUAUUCCUGAGUAGGGCAAAGCCAGAGGAAACUCUGGUGGAGGCUCGUAGCGAUGCUGACGUGCAAAUCGCUCGUCUAACUUGGGUAUAGGGGCGAAAGACUAAUCGAACCAUCUAGUAGCUGGUUCCCUCCGAAGUUUCCCUUAGGAUAGCGGGAGCAAAUGCAA